GGGAUUCUGGCCAACAGCCACUGCCUGUCAGUUGCCUUCACACGGCAGGGGUCACUGGUUCGAACCCAGUACCGCCCACCA
rnacentral:tRNA from 1 species